GUUCUAAACUUUUCGCAGUGCUUAUUUCAUUGCUCAAGCUAGUCAUGAUUACAAGACCAUACCAGGUACUUCAUUUCUCCACUCAACCAGAAUAAGUAGAACACCAUUCACCAUCACUUCUUUGUAAGCAUAGCGUCUAGUUACUAUCAUUUAAAACACCACUUCGUUUGUCAGUUAUUUUGCGUAAUACACGUUAUAUCGCUCAUAGCAUGACUUUUGGCUACUAUACUAACCAUAUACCAUUUCUACAUCUUUAGUAUAACGUUCUGAACUUUUUCACAGUGCGUAUUUCAUUGCUCAAGAGAGUCAUGAUUACAACACCAUACCAGGUACUCCAUUUCUCCACUUAACCAGAACAAGUAAAACACCCAUCACCAUCUCUUCUUUGAAAGCAUAACUUCCAGUCACUAUUAUUUCAAAGUUCACCUUCCCAUCAUAUAAGAAACCAUACUUUCAACAUUUUUUUAACUUCAGCAUUUCAUUUCGUCUGUUUUUUUCCGUAACGCGUUUGAUCGCUCAAACUAGUCACGAUUACAACACCAAAUACUCCAUUCCUCCACUCAAUCGAAAUAAGUAGAACACACAUUCCUCCGAUUUUUCUUUAGCCUAACUUCAAGCUACUAGUGAAAACAUAUACGACCUCAGAGAUCACCAACUACGAAACCACACCUUCUGCAUCUUUAUACUUUGGUAUAACGUUCUCAACUUUUUCGCAGUGCGUAUUUCAUUGCUCAAAAGAGUUAUGAUUACAAGACCAUACCAGGUACUUCAUUUCUCCACUCAUCCAGAAUAAGUUGAACAUCUAUAAUAUGACUUCUUUCUAAGCAUAACUUCCAGUUACUCAUUUCAAACUUCAAAGACUGUACACUCCACAUGUUUUAACUGCAACAUAACGUUUCUCCAUUCUUUUCUGUAAUGCAUGUUAUAUCGCUCAAGCUAGUCAUGAUUACAAUACCAAGUACUCCACUCCUCCACUCAAUCGAUAUAAGUAGAAAACAAACUCGUGCUAUUUUUCUUUAGCAUGACUUCUUGCUACUACUCAAAAUAUAUACCACUUCUGCAUUUUUAAACUUGGGUAUAACGUCCUGAAAUUUUUCGCAGUGCCUAUUUCAUUGCUCAAGCUAGUCAUGAUUACAAAACAUACCAGGUACUUCAUUUCUCCACUCAACCAGAACAAGUAAAACACCCAUCUCCAUCUCUUCUUUACAAGCAUACUUUCCAGUCACUAUUAUUUCAAAGUUCACGUUCCCAUCAUAUAAGAAACCAAACUUUCAACAUUUUUAUAACUUCAGCAUUUCGUUUCGUCCGUUCUUUUCCGUAACGCAUGUUUGAUCGCUCAAGCUACUCACUAUUACAACCAAAUACUCCAUUCCUCCACUAAAUUGAAAUAAGUAGAACACACAUUCCUCCGAUUUUUCUUUAGCCUAACUUCAAGCUACUAGUGAAAACAUUAACCACUUCAGAGUUCAACUCCGAAACCACACCUUCCACAUCUUUAUACUUCGGUAUAACGUUCUGAAAUUUUUCGCAGUGCUUAUUUCAUUGCUCAAGCUAGUCAUGAUUACAAGACCAUACCAGGUACUUCAUUUCUCCACUCAACCAGAAUAAGUACGACACCCAUCACCAUCUCAUCUUUGCAAGCAUAACUUCCAGUCACUAUUAUUUCAAAGUUCACCUUCCCAUGAAAAUAAGAAAUCAUGCUUUCGACCUCAGCAUUUCGUUUGUCAGUUCUUUUGGGUUGUGCAUGUUUUAUCGCUGAAGCUAGUCAUGAUUACGAUAUCAAGUACUUCAUUCUUUUACUAAUUUGAAACAAGAUGAAAAAUGCACAUCUGCAAUUUUUCGUUUACCAUGACUUUUGGCUACUAGUCAAAACAAAUACCACUUUAAAGUUCACCUAAUCAAAUAUGAAACCACACCUUCCACAUUUUUAUACUUUAGUAUAACGUUCUAAACUUUUUCGCAGUGCAUAUUUCAUUGCUCAAGAGAGUCAUGAUUACAAGACCAUACCAGGUACUUCAUUUCUCCGCUCAACCAGAAUAAGUACGACACCCAUCACCAUCUCAUCUUUGCAAGCAUAACUUCCAGUCACUAUUAUUUCAAAGUUCACCUUCCCAUGAAAAUAAGAAAUCAUACUUUUAACAUCUUUUUAACUUCAGCAUUCCAUUUAUCAGUUUUUUUCCCUAACGCAUGUUUGAUCCCUGGAGCUAAUCAUGAUUUUGAUAUCAAGUACUUCAUUGUUUUACUAAUUUGAAACAAGAUGAAAAAUGCACAUCUGCAAUUUUUCGUUUAGCAUGACUUUUGGCUACUAGUCAAAACAAAUACCACUUUAAAGUUCACCUAAUC